rnacentral:rRNA from 1 species
AGGCUUAACACAUGCAAGUCGAGCGCCCCGCAAGGGGAGCGGCAGACGGGUGAGUAACGCGUGGGAACGUACCCUUUACUACGGAAUAACGCAGGGAAACUUGUGCUAAUACCGUAUGUGCCCUUCGGGGGAAAGAUUUAUCGGUAAAGGAUCGGCCCGCGUUGGAUUAGCUAGUUGGUGGGGUAAAGGCCUACCAAGGCGACGAUCCAUAGCUGGUCUGAGAGGAUGAUCAGCCACAUUGGGACUGAGACACGGCCCAAACUCCUACGGGAGGCAGCAGUGGGGAAUAUUGGACAAUGGGCGCAAGCCUGAUCCAGCCAUGCCGCGUGAGUGAUGAAGGCCCUAGGGUUGUAAAGCUCUUUCACCGGAGAAGAUAAUGACGGUAUCCGGAGAAGAAGCCCCGGCUAACUUCGUGCCAGCAGCCGCGGUAAUACGAAGGGGGCUAGCGUUGUUCGGAAUUACUGGGCGUAAAGCGCACGUAGGCGGAUCGAUCAGUCAGGGGUGAAAUCCCAGGGCUCAACCCUGGAACUGCCUUUGAUACUGGCGAUCUGGAGUAUGGAAGAGGUGAGUGGAAUUCCGAGUGUAGAGGUGAAAUUCGUAGAUAUUCGGAGGAACACCAGUGGCGAAAGCGG